rnacentral:rRNA from 1 species
AAAUCACGACUCUCGGCAACGGAUAUCUUGGCUCUUGCAUCGAUGAAGAACGUAGCGAAAUGCGAUACUUGGUGUGAAUUGCAGAAUCCCGUGAACCAUCGAGUCUUUGAACGCAAGUUGCGCCCGAGACCUUUAGGUUGAGGGCACACCUGCUUGGGCGUCA